UACAGAGGGUGCAAGCGUUAAUCGGAAUUACUGGGCGUAAAGCGUGCGUAGACGGUUAUGUAAGUCAGGUGUGAAAGCCCCGGGCUCAACCUGGGAAUGCCAUUUGAGACUGCAUAGCUAGGGUACGGAAGAGGGAAGCGGAAUUUCGGGUGUAGCGGUGAAAUGCGUAGAUAUCUGAAGGAACACCAGUGGCGAAAGCGGCUUCCUGGUCCAGUACCGACGUUCAGGCACGAAAGCGUGGGGAGCAAACAGG
rnacentral:rRNA from 1 species